UAGUUGACUUCGCGCCUGUAGCGUCCACCACGCGUGCGACUGCUCAGCCACUAUCGCUGCUUGCAUGUGCCUUAACGGUGUCAAGUGGUGCUAGCGAGUUUCUUGAAAAUUAUAGUGCUCAACAGCGUCUCGUCGUAUACUGUGCAUGGAUAUAGAAUAGGACCUUCGAUCUAUUUGUUGGCUUUCGGACCAGAGGUAAUGAUAGGAGGGAACGACGGGGGGCAUUCGGUAUGCGACGUUAGAGGUGAAAUUUCUGGGAUUGUCGCAAGACGGCUUAUGGGAAAGCAUUGCCCAAGAAUGUUUUCAUUAAUCAAGAACGAAAGUUAGAGGUUCGAAGGCGAUCAGAUCCCGCCUUAGUUCUAAGCGUAAAGGUUACCAACUACCGAUCGGUUGGGUUAGAAAUGCCCCACCGGGAAGCUUCCGGGAACCGAAAUUCUUCCGGUUCCGGGGGAAGUAUGGUUGCAAUUCUGAAACUUAAAGGAAUUGCCGGAAGGCCCCCCCCAGGAGUGGACCUUGCGCCUUAAUUGGAUUCACCACGGGAAAAUUCCCCCGGCCCGGCCAUGGCAAGGAUGGCCAGAUUGAGAGUUCUUUCUUGAUUGGGUGGGGGGUGGUGCAUGCCCGUUCUUAGUUGGUGGAGCGAUUUUUUUGGUUUAUUCGGAUAACGAACGAGACUCCACCCUGCUAAUUAGUACGGGUAUCUUUUGGUGCGCGCUACUUCUUAGAGGGACAAGCGGUGUUCAGCCGCAUGAAAAGGAGCAAUAACAGGUCUGUGAUGCCCUUAGAUGUCCGGGGCUGCACGCGCGCUACACUGAAAGGUGCAGAGUGCUAGUUCACCUUGCCCGAAAGGGCUGGGUAACCCGCUCAAAACCUUUCGUGAUUGGGAUAGGGACUUGCAAUUAUUUCCCUGAACGAGGAAUCCCAGUAAGUGCGGUCAUAGCUCGCGACUGCUC
rnacentral:rRNA from 1 species